rnacentral:rRNA from 1 species
ACGAACGCUGGCGGCGUGCCUAACACAUGCAAGUCGAGCGGAGACAGUGAGUAGCUUGCUACGAACUGUUUUAGCGGCGGACGGGUGAGUAACGCGUGAGCAACCUUUCCCAGACAGGGGAAUAACACACCGAAAGGUGUACUAAUACCGCAUAAGACCACGGGAUCACAUGGUUCUGAGGUAAAAGAUUUAUCGGUUUGGGGUGGGCUCGCGUCCGAUUAGGUAGUUGGUGAGGUAACGGCCCACCAAGCCGACGAUCGGUAGCCGACCUGAGAGGGUGAUCGGCCACAUUGGGACUGAGACACGGCCCAAACUCCUACGGGAGGCAGCAGUGGGGAAUAUUGGGCAAUGGAGGAAACUCUGACCCAGCAACGCCGCGUGGAGGAAGAAGGUUUUCGGAUCGUAAACUCCUGUCCUUGGAGACGAGUAGAAGACGGUAUCCAAGGAGGAAGCCCCGGCUAACUACGUGCCAGCAGCCGCGGUAAUACGUAGGGGGCAAGCGUUGUCCGGAAUAAUUGGGCGUAAAGGGCGCGUAGGCGGCUCGGUAAGUCUGGAGUGAAAGUCCUGCUUUUAAGGUGGGAAUUGCUUUGGAUACUGUCGGGCUUGAGUGCAGGAGAGGUUAGUGGAAUUCCCAGUGUAGCGGUGAAAUGCGUAGAGAUUGGGAGGAACACCAGUGGCGAAGGCGACUAACUGGACUGUAACUGACGCUGAGGCGCGAAAGUGUGGGGAGCAAACAGGAUUAGAUACCCUGGUAGUCCACACUGUAAACGAUGAAUGCUAGGUGUAGGGGGUAUCGACCCCUUCUGUGCCGCAGUCAACACAAUAAGCAUUCCGCCUGGGGAGUACGGCCGCAAGGUUGAAACUCAAAGGAAUUGACGGGGGCCCGCACAAGCAGCGGAGCAUGUGGUUUAAUUCGACGCAACGCGAAGAACCUUACCAGGUCUUGACAUCCACUUAAACUUACAGAGAUGUAAGGUGUGCUUGCACAAAGUGAGACAGGUGGUGCAUGGUUGUCGUCAGCUCGUGUCGUGAGAUGUUGGGUUAAGUCCCGCAACGAGCGCAACCCUUAUCUUCAGUUACUAACGCGUAAAGGUGAGGACUCUGAAGAGACUGCCGGGGACAACUCGGAGGAAGGUGGGGACGACGUCAAAUCAUCAUGCCCUUUAUGUCUUGGGCUACACACGUACUACAAUGGCGUUAAACAAAGAGAAGCAAGACCGCGAGGUGGAGCAAAACUCAGAAACAACGUCCCAGUUCGGACUGCAGGCUGCAACUCGCCUGCACGAAGUCGGAAUUGCUAGUAAUCGCAGAUCAGCAUGCUGCGGUGAAUACGUUCCCGGGCCUUGUACACACCGCCCGUCACACCAUGGGAGUUGGGAGUGCCCAAAGCCGGUGAGGCAACCGCAAGGAGCCAGCCGUCUAAGGCAAGACCAAUGACUGGGGUG